AGAGAUAUAGUUCAGUGGUAGAACAGCUAAAGUCAAUCUUUAGAAGAACAUCAGUUCGAAUCUGGUUAUCUCUA
rnacentral:tRNA from 1 species